GGGAGUAGCUGACACGAACUAUGCUGUGCGUCACAGCCAAUACAGCUCCGCACGCGGACAGCAGCACGAGUCCGUGUCUCUUCAUUUAUUAAUAUAUAUUUUCCCCCUUUUCAAGACAUCCCAUCACACAGAUACACUCUACUACCCUUGUACCUUAGGGAGUGUGACGCAAUAUCCAAGACUUGUCUGGUCUGGACAACGAUUUAAAGGAGACCUGUGCAAGAGCAGUGAAACUAUUCUUGAAGUCAUGGAGGACAACCUCUCGCUGGCAACAAAGAGAUGUCUAAACUUCAGCAUCAUCCUGAAGGAAACUGUGGUCAUGGAGGACUGACUUUACCACUGCUUUCAUGACCCUUUUCACAUGACGUCACACAGCUUCCGGUUGGACUCGAAGCAGUGCAUCCUCACUUCCGUCAGCAUGGUGGAAUACUAGCGCCGCUCGAAUGAAGUGCACCCAAUAGUUGUACAUAUGCCACAAAUGUGGUUAGAGGAUGACUGUAGUCGCCUAAUUUCAUGUAAAUUCAAGGCGAGGUGUUCGGCAGAUCUCAAACGAACUUACCGAUUGGCAAGAUUUGCUGCUUGAAGUCGGAGGAGGAGUUGAAUACGGAGCACUGAAGCCGUACACUUUCUGCUGCCCGUAGUAACGUGCAAACUUUGCUGUCUUUAUUGCAGAUGAAGCUGUUUAUAUGUAUUUGUCAGUAUUUGUGAAAUAAAUGCACGUUUCCGACAUUUACGUGCAGAAAAAACUUUUCAAUGUUUAAUGUACCACGUAUUUCAGUGCAUGUAUGUACAAUGAAGAUCAACAUAAGCUUAUUCUUUUUAAUUAUCAAAAGGUCUAUUUUUUCAGUUUUAUUUCGAUAAAUAUGACAUACAUAAUAAUAAAAAUUGUUUACUAUAAUACUAUUUCUACAUGAACACUGUUAAUGUUGUAAAAACUGACUCUUGUACAUGGUAUUUUUAUUAGUAAAAAAACAUCGUCAUCAUUCAUCUCUUUAUUGUAGAACAAGACUUUUUGUAUGCGACAUACAAAAAUAUACAGAGGAUUUACAACAGUACUCAUUGUUAUAGCAGCAUAUGAAUUAAAUAAAAUUAUUUUUCCAGGGAAUAACAUUAAAUGAACACAUACUUCCGUUUUGUAUUUUCAAUACACUUCUUACAAAUUAUACAAUCUUAAUAUAUUGCACCAGUUCAGUUUAAACUGGUAUGAUGUAAAAUGAUCUAAAAUCUUCCCACCAUUAAUUCUUCGGAGUAUUAUAUGUGGAUGUGCUACUUUCAGGUGUCCAUUACUCAUGAAUAAAUCUCACAAGAAACAAUACCGUUAUCAUAGCCUACCAAUUUCUAAAAAUAAAGAUUUGUUUUUAAAUACAAUAUUCUUGUUAUUCCAAAUAGGCUAACAGAUUUGUGUGCACGCACAAUCAUUGUGAUAAAACUCUGACAGCAAUUCACGGACACAACAUUGCUAAAGUUUCUGCUUGUAGAAAACCCUAAGCAAGGCAGUUACAGAAAGGAAAUAAUAAAUAACGUUACCAAAAGAAGCCGACUGUGUAAAUUCUUGACAUAAACAGUUCGCGUUUAAAGUUAUUAAAGCAUUUUCCCGAGACGUCGCCAACGCGAAGGUAAGACGGAAUAACAGAUCCACUGCUUUGCGGAUAGGCGGUAAGUUAACUGACGUCAUUGUGAAAAGGGCCUAUUGUUGCUGAGUAAGAGGCUUUAUACUAUAUUUAAGGUUUGGAACAUUAGGUCUUGCUGUAUUUAAGCAUUUGUAAAUAAGAACAGAAAGAUCCAUGAUUUUGGUAUUGGGUAAGCUUGUGUGAAAAGAAAAUGUAAGCAUUUUAGAAAUGUGUUAAUUGACCGUAUAUUGUGUGAAAACAACAUGAAUUGUAUUAAUGUUAUGGUCACAACAGACGGAUGUUGUGCCAAUUGUGUUUAGAGUUUCGAAAAUGUGACUACGGAUUGGACAAAAGU